rnacentral:rRNA from 1 species
GUAGUUAGCCGGAGCUUCCUCCUUGGGUACCGUCAUUUCUUCGUCCCCAAGGACAGAGGUUUACAACCCGAAAGCCUUCUUCCCUCACGCGGCGUUGCUGGGUCAGGGUUUCCCCCAUUGCCCAAUAUUCCCCACUGCUGCCUCCCGUAGGAGUUUGGACCGUGUCUCAGUUCCAAUGUGGCCGAUCACCCUCUCAGGUCGGCUACCCAUCGCGGUCUUGGUGGGCCGUUACCUCACCAACUAUCUAAUGGGACGCGAACCCCUCUUAUACCGGAUUGCUCCUUUGACCUCAUCCCGAUGUCGGGUCGUGGUCUUAUGCGGUAUUAGCAACCGUUUCCGGUUGUUAUCCCCCUGUAUAAGGCAGGUUGUUCACGCGUUACUCACCCGUUCGCCACUAAGUUAUCAACCGAAUCAAUAACUCCGUUCGACUUGCAUGUGUUAGGCACGCCGCCAGCGUUCGUCCUGAGCCAGAAUCGAAACCUCGACACGUAGACGGCCGGUGCGAACGGACGGGCC